UUCAAUUCAGAAGAAGAAGCCAACCCACACUGAGGUGGAUGUUAAAUGAUCAGUUUUAGCCCUUCUACAACAUUUUUGUUUUAUUUUUUUAUGGACACGACAAAUGUUUAAAUUUCCAGUGUAUGUACGGUCUACAUUGCGCAUUAUAUUUCGGAAGGUGACCCCGAGACCUCUGUGUUCGUCUAAUGGAGAAGCAGGUCACGAUGCUGUUUUUAAAGCCAAGAAGCCUCAACAAGAUUCCGCUAGCCAGGUAAAUAGAAUAAGCAAAAAAGAGUGUCAACCUAUUCUGGACCAUUUUGACAAGCAGUACAGUGAAGAGCUAGGGGAUUUGUGGACAUCAGUGAGAUCUGUGCUCCUCAACCCUCAUUCCUGGCAGUACGGCGUGUUGCUGAACCGCUUCACUGUGGUGACAGACAUCAAGCGUGUCCUCUUGUCACAAGGCUUUUCCACACUACUGCCUCAAAAAGAAGCCCUGACAUUGCCUAGUGUUGUGCCCACCGUGUUCAAUGCCGACUGUCAAACAUCCAAAAACUCUCAUGCCAAAUGUCCCAAGGAUGACUCCCAUCUGCAGUUUCAGAACAGCUCUCAUGCAGUCGUUCAGCAGCCCGAAUCAGAACGAUGCCCCAUUCUGCCCUCUUUGUCGUUGCAGUGUUACAUCCACCCGUAUCCAUUGCGUUUUCCAUCACAGCCUCACAGGCCCGGACAGCUGAAGCAGUACUACCUCCUAAACGCCGCCUCCUUGCUUCCAGUACUUGCUUUGCAAGUUAGAAAUGAAGAUAAAGUUUUGGAUCUGUGCUCUGCUCCCGGGGGCAAAGCUUUAGCUAUAAUGCAGUGUGCAACCCCAGCAUUCCUCUGCUGUAAUGAGCCCGACUCUCACAGACGGGACAGGCUGGCUAAAACAUUGGAGUCUUUCCUGCCGCAUUCAAUGAGCAGCCGAGUGGUUGUGUCGGCCCAGGAUGGACGGUCCUUUGGGCAAAAGGAAGCAGGGAAUUAUGACAAGGUCCUGGUUGAUGCUCCGUGCUCCAAUGACAGGAGCUGGCUGUUCUCAUCUGCUGACCAGCAGGUGGAACAGAGGUUAAAGGAGAGAAGCACACUGCCACGGCUCCAGGUCCAACUACUACGAUCUGCACUGUCAGCAGUGCGUCCAGGGGGCGUUGUGGUCUAUUCUACAUGCACCCUGUCCACCGCGGAAAACUUUGCCGUGGUGGAGGCAGUGCUCGGAGAUUGUCCUGAAGCUGAACCCGAGGACCUUUGGGAGGAAAUUGCUCUUCCCUUAUCGAACUACUUCACAUUUCGUCCUGCUCACCGUGUUAGCGGACUGGUAACCCACACACAAUCCCUGCAGCCACAGUGUAGCCGUGCAGCCUCAUAUGACCACAAACUGGGAAUUCUAGUACUUCCACAGCCAUGCAAAACUUGGGGACCAAUGUUUUUGUCUCGGCUUCGAAAGAGGAAGAGAUGACAUGUGAAUGUAAUACACAUCUGAAUUUAAUAAAUAUGCUUACUCAGUUUCUUUAAAAAUGUAAAUUUUUCCUCAUAGUUGAAAAUUCUUUGCCAUGCGUAGGUAAAUUAGUAGUUUAGAGAUGCUGCGUAUGCCAUUUUUGCUCAAUUAAAACACUAAGACCCAUCCAGACUGUCAAUUAAGCUGUAUCUUUGUUGUCAUUCUAGACCAGGGGUGGGCAAACUACGGCCCGGGGGCCACAUGCGGCCCACCAAGCGUUUGAAUCCGGCCCGCCAGUUACUUUCAGAGUAUUUCAACUUUUAACAUGAUGUCUUAUUCAGUAAAAAAAAAAAUUAGAGUGUAAAAUUGUGUGUGUGUGUGUUAAAUAUAUGUUCUGGCCCCCCGCACAAUUUUGUUAACUCAACGUGGCCCAUGAGUCAAAAAGUUUGCCCACCCCUGUUCUAGACUAUUAAACCUAAAUGACUGAUAUUGAAUUUAACUUGACUACGAUUGACUAGAUAUGUUAAACUCUUUUUAGAGUGCUUCUGAUUGCAAGCUUACAUUUAGAAACUCAGCAUGAUUGCAAUGCUUCAAGUUUCUGCUGCAAUUCAUGUUAUUGUCAUCAUUGGUCAUCUUUUUGUCUUUUCUAAAAAUGUGUUUUUGUCUGUCAAGAUAAGAGCAGUAAUCACAUCAACAAUUUAGAGCGCUGCUGUUCUGUGCUGGGGCUGCACGAGUGAUUAGCGCGCAGGCCACACUGCAAGUUCGAUUCCACCCUCGGCCAUCUCUGUGUCGAGUAUACACUCCCAUUAGCUCAAAUUUUACACACUUUAACAAGUCAUUCUCUUAAGUUCUGUCACCCCCGGUUGGUCAUUUCAUGACACCUGCCGUGCCAGAGUGGUUAUGCUUGAAAUGUUAUGAACGUAUCCUUGCAUUUAACUUUUUUUUUUAGCACUCAGGAGAGCACAGAUUUAUGCCAAGGCCCAACAAUCCUAAUUUGGAUAUGCACCAAACAGCACACCUUAAUUAACAUACACACUUCCUGCAUAUGCCAGAGUUGUACCAUUAAGAUUCAUGCAGUAUACAGUCGCCGCUUGCCACUCUUUGUGUUUUGAAAUUUGCUGCUUCACUUUAUCGUGUUUUUUUAAAUAAAAUAAAAUACAGUAAUUAAUAAAUCAUGCUGUUUAUCUAUGCAAAACAUAUAUAUAUUUAAACAACUGUUCUUUUACCUAAAUGAAGCAUUUCCAAACAAGAAAUAAACAAAAAUACAAAGGCAUUCAGAAGAUGCAUUCAAAGAUGCAAAUGAUCUGUAGUGUUUUACAUUAGAGGGCUUGUGUAAUACAAAUUUGACAGCCAAUCUAAAUUGCUGCAUUUAAUAAUAAUAUUAUAAUAAGUAUUAAGGACAAUGUUUGUUUUGAAAAAAAAUAUGUAAAAUUUCUUGGAGCAAUUUAUAAUGAAUACAAUGAUUUAUUUUGUAGACUGACAUUUUCCUUACAAAUAAGUGAUAAGUGAUAAGCAAGACAUUACAUUGCGAAGGAUACCAUUGCUGAAAUCGGGAAACCUGCCAUAACCCCAAGUCUGUUUCAUCCUCCUUCACUGGGUGAACACACUUUUUUUUUUUUAUUGACUGCUCUACUUUUUUUGACCGCCUUUUGAAAUGUAACCACCACAUAUCAUCACAAGCGUGCUCAUACGGAAAGGCAACAUAAAAAGAUACGUGGAGAUAAUAUGGGCCGAUGAAGUGGGGGUACAAAAUGGCCAACCAUUUUGCUGACCUCUGAAUGAACUCUGGUUUGUUGAUGUUCCCCAUGUUGCAGCGGUUCCUCGAGGGGAGAAUCUCUAAGCAGCUUUCCCUCCACUUCAAAGAGGGAGAAUAUAGGCCUGCUUUGCAUAAUCAGUGAUGGAUGAAAGUCUGCGCCGGGGUAAUCUGUCCUGCCUUCAGUCUGCAGAGUGUGCGCUUUGUCUUCUCAUGCAGCUUUUAUGGAUGCUACCACUUUCUCGCAGUUCCAAAGGACGUACAGUUCAGGGUAUUAUUACACAAGUCUCUCAGCACACUUUAUCACAUAGCACUCUGCAGUUAGCCUUGAACAAACGCUCAGAUGUUUUCUCAUUCUCAGGUGAGUCGUUUGAUUUGAUACGGUUCUAAGUUGAACAGACAAAACCUUUGAAAUGAACAAUGAACUUCAACCUCAAGAGCUCUGAAAACAUGACUUUACGAUGACACGUUAUGAUGUUAAAACUUUCACAUACAGUCUUGAAAGCGUAAAUAAACAAUCUAGUUUAGACCAAACCAAUGAAAUAUACAGUAGAUCCCCACACAUUUGCGAUUCAGGAAUCAUGACCCCGGAAAUUUGGAGAGUUGUGGUUCACAUUCACUUUAAUUGGUCAUUUUUAAAUACUUGAUAAUACAAGACAAUAUGCAGCAUACAUGUACUAUUCUUAGAGGAUCACACCUGUUUUACAUGUUUAUGUCCUGACACUUCACUAAUAAUAGUGGUCAGCUCUCCUUGAAUGCAUAGCUGUGUCCCGUGUGCUGAUUCUGUCAGUGCUUUGCGGUUCAUGGCUGCUCAGCCACUGACUCUUUUGGAUCAUUGUUUUAAAUUUUUUUAAUUAUUUUUUUUAUUGUUUUAUUGUUGUAUUUUAUUUUAUGUUUUUUAUUUUUUGAAUUUUUAAUUUUUUUUUAUUUUUUUAAAUUGUUUUACUUAUUUUAUUUUUGUAUUUGUUUAAUUUUUAAAUUUUUACAUUUUUACAUUUUUACAUGUUUUAUUUUUUUUAUUUAUUUUUAUUUAUUUUUAUUUAUUUAUUUAUUUAUUUUUUCAUUAGUCCCAUUUAUUACAUUUUUAAUUAAAGAAAAAACAUGCAGACUUUGCUUUUAUAGGAAAAUCCAGGUUCUGAUACUAUGUUGCAAUAGUCUGAUCACGUCCUAGUGAGCUUGGGUAUGAAUCCUCCAUCUUGGCAGUCAAAUUCCUUCAUUCAUUCAGCAGAGCAUCAAAAUAUCUUGAAUGCAUUUGACUUUUUCUAGCUCUUGCUGCUGGUAUAAAAAUAACAACAACAAAAAAACACUGGUCUUUUUCUGUAUGGAAGAACGGCAGUGACAAUCACCUUCUAGCUCACGCAUACCUAACCUGACAUGCUCUGCUGUGACACCACCUUCUCACUCCAGGUGAGCAGCUCCUUGGUCUCUCUCUCCCCUCAGACCCUGGUCCCCCCUGAUAGGAGGAGCUACCAGGCCAGCCACAGGUGUUUUGCAUUGCCACGUCUCCCAUUUAGGCACACCUAUGGCAGCAGGAGUUUGUUGUUCUAUUGUUCCUUGUGGACCAACGUCACAUGCAUGUUCACCCUUUCUGCUGCCGCUGUGUUAUUCUUCCUCCGCUCGACUCCUUCCUGCCAGUUAGGUAGCUGCUCCCUGCUCAUAGCCCCCUUUAGCCUUACCUGAGCUUGUGUAACCUUGCUAGCAUUGUUUUGUGGUGCCUUUUGUGUUUUUCUUGCCACACCAUAGUUUGUUGUUGUUGCCACUAUUGCUCGUUUGGUAAAGAUGAAGAGCAAAAAAGCUGUGUGCAUCCUUUGGGGUCCAACCUAUCCCGUGGUGUGACACUAACCCUUUCAGGGUGCAGCUGUACCAUCUCUCAUAUAACUAUAUAUUAUUGUCUGAUUAUCAAAAUUAAUGAUUACCAGGGUGGCACGGCGGUCUAGUGGUUAGCGCGCAGACCUCACAGCUAGGAGACCAGGGUUCAAUUCCACCCUCAGCCAUCUCUGUGUGGAGUUUGCAUGUUCUCCCCGUGCAUGCGUGGGUUUUCUCCGGGUACUCCGGUUUCCUCCCACAUUCCAAAAACAUGCUAGGUUUAUUGGCGACUCCAAAUUGUCCAUAGGUAUGAAUGUGAGUGUGAAUGGUUGUUUGUCUAUAUGUGCCCUGUGAUUGGCUGGCGACCAGUCCAGGGUGUACCCCGCCUCUCGCCUGAAGACAGCUGGGAUAGGCUCCAGCACCCCUGCAACCCUCGUGAAAAAAAGCGGCAGAAAAUGAAUGAAUGAAUAAAAUCACCCUUACAUUAAAGAGACUACAUGGGCUGUAAAAUGUCAUGGUAAUGGUAAUGGCAAGAUUAUCGCAGGAACAGAAACUGACAAACAGAAACUGGCAGGCGCCAUGAUCCAACUCAGGCAAGCAUGCCUCACAAAUUUAGCCCUUUUUACUUAAUAUGUUAGAAAUUAUUGGACUUGUAAAAAAAUACAUUUAAAAUACAGUUCAAGGACAAAUAUUACUAUUUGUUUUAUGUUCUUGUUAGUUUUUAUUUCAUUUUAUUUAUUUUAUUAAGUUUGGUGACUCUCCAAGGCCCUGCCUCUCGUCCAAAAACAGCUGUCUUAAGCUCCAGCAUAACUGUGACUCUUGUGAGGACCAGAAGAGAACAUCAGCAUCAAGUUUGGGGUGGGAGCGAGCCUUAUGUCAAAAGUAGUCAUUUUUAUGGGUUACCAAUCACACACUAAUUGUUUUCCAUUUGCUUGUGGUCCCGUAACGUAAAGCCAUGCAAAGCAGGGAUCUGCAGUAAGUAAGUCUGCAUAUUGAAUUAAGAUUUUGCUUAAAAAAUAUCAUACUGAUAAUUAAAUGUCAUUACGUUUUCAUUGUCAGCAUGAAAGUGUGCAGUGUCACCAUCUCAAACGUAAUAAUAGCUCAUAGAACUAAAGACACGCUCUAAUGAUAUCAAAUAUAUCAUUGAAAUGGAAAAUAGUAAUAAUAAUGCAGGUUUAGUUCAUCUCCCUUUUAUAUCAUUUAAAUAAUGCACCCCUCUCUUUGCGGCGGGCCAUGAUGUGGAUCUGAUCCGAUAAGGUCCACAUAAGGAUUUCUGUUUUGCACCCUCGGUUCCUUCAGCAUACACAGGCCCUCAAAUGAAGUCUUCACCCAGAAAUGAUGUUCGCAGAAUGAGCUCCCUCAUCUCACUUUGAAAAAAACUGAUUUACGUCAUACUUGCAGACUUCAAACAUUUUUGGAGUGAGCCUUCCUGGUGUGAGGGGAAAGUAUGAGCGUUAACUUCUUCAUCCAAAAGUCACUGGUAUAUAACAUCCAGUUGUCAGGGGGUAUAAUUCACAUGGUUAGGAGUCAUUAACAAUGUUUUUGAUUUGACUUUAUACCAAGGGUCUCAAACACACGGCCCGCGGGCCAAAUGUGGCCCGCAGGACACUAGUUUGAGGCCCCCGCCUUGAUAUGAAAGUUUAAUGUUAGUGCGGCCCGCGCAAGUUUGAUAUGGAUGCUGUAUGGUAUCAUGUACCCGGAAAAAAUUAUUACGUUUGAUUAAUGUUCAUGUUAAAGGUUAAAUAACUGUUAAUAGUUAUCCUCCCUAUCCGUGUGGAAGUGGUAAGUUUUUGGCUAUUUAAGUUUAAAGGAAAUAACUUGAAGGCUACCGUUUAGGUCACUAGCUCUCUGGUUUGCGAGUUAGCAUGUGUCUCAAGACCCUGCAGUUGCGCAAUAUGUUGUAAAUAAAAAGAGUAUAAAUGUGACUAUAGUCGUGUUUUGUCAUGUCUACAGGGCUCUAAUAAUGCU